rnacentral:lncRNA from 1 species
AAAAAAUAAUUAUUUUAGGCCCUGUAGGUGGACAACGCACAACUUUUGGUACUGAGAUAAAGUUGGUUAAAUCACCCUAAGAAACCCGCUUCUAUUUGGACAAUUUCGCUUGAGACACCAUGUAUAACCGACAUUUUUACUUUCUAUUGGAUUUCACUUCCAGAGCUUUUUAUUCAGCCCAUCAACAUUGGCAUAAUGUUGGGUCCAUUGGGGCGGUUUCUAAAGUUUCCAUUUUGCGUCCGCUUGCUGCUGGUGCUUUUGGUCUUACAGCUUACAUUCUACUUUUCGACUCGAAAAUACGCUUUGAAAACAAGGAUGAAGUCAGUGGCCCAAACCCAAACUCACAUAUUGAAUAAAGCAAUGGUCAUUCCUGCCCUUGCUAGCGAAGGGUCCUGGCAAACGGUCGUUCCAGAAAAUUCGCCGUGAGUAAGUACCUACUACAAAAAUAUUACUUGAUCCACAAAAUGAUUAUCUACUUACGUACCAUAAGCGUUGUUGCAGGCACAAAUAUUUAGUUUUUUCUGCGUU